CUCUCCUAUAAUUUCAACUCAGGAUCUUCACAAUUAAGUAUCGAAGGAUGCAGCCAUAUUCCUCUCAGCUGCAUCAUAAUAUUGACUAGAAGUGUCAAAAUGGGCCAUGUCAAGAGUGCUAUCCAUCUUAUGGUCACAAUUAGCCGAGCUUGCCAAUAUAUUUUGUAGUUCCAUGAAGUGAGCAUUAUGAAGUUGAGUAGAAUUACCCUGG
rnacentral:lncRNA from 1 species